GCCCCGCCGGGCACCGCGGCCUCCCGGCACCCCGGGGCUCCCGCGCUUUGGGCGCCUUCUCCCUGCGGGGAGGUCCGGGCAUCCAGGGAUUCCUGCCAACAGAUACACUCUUCAUAACACACUGCUUACCAGCUUUGCAUGUCACUCUGUCCCUUCACCUGGUUCAAGGCUGUGAAAAACUAGAAGACUAGAGCUAACAGCUCCUGCUGGCUUACUAGGCAAAUCUGGCUCACACAAUUUUUUUACUAACUGUUUUCAAUGGCAGUCAUUCAGCCACGGAUUUUCCAGCAAUAACAAAACUUGCAGUUGUGCAGAUUCAUAGUUUCCUACUUUUCUACUUGUCUCAUUGGAAUGAUGUGUCACUGUUAUUAUAUUACAAAAUCCAUUGCCAACCCCAAAUCUAUAUAUCAGAAAAAUGUUCAGUUCUACCAACAAUAUAAGAAACUAGUGCCUGUAAUGCAUUAAUCAAAUUUGAACACAUUCCUCAUAAUUCUUCCUUCAACUGAAUCUCCUGUUCUCCUUAUAAUACCUUUAUUCUGCCUGUGCCUAUUGUUCAACAGAUUCAAAAUACUUAACUCUUCCUCUGCCUAAUGUAAAUCUAGAAUGGCAAGAACCAAGAAGCCACUUACAUACUCAAGUAAAAUUGUUAUUUAUGCCAAUAAAGGUCUUUCCUGAGCAAACAGAAAAGCCAAGUUCAAAACCUGGAUGGAAGGAAUUCAAAUCAGGAAACAGAAUAGUGGCAAAGCACUGUUAAUGAAAUAGCCCCUGCCAUUUUCAGUACCAAUGCACAAUGAGUUUAAGCAGAUAUAUGGUUUGAGGAGUUUCCUCACACAAAAUGUCACCUGCUAAACCUUGAACGAGUGUUACUUUCCUCUCCUUUGUAUCACCUUUUUAGCACUUGUAUGGCUAUGCAGUCAGUGAAAUUAAAUGCUUGAUGGAGCUGAGAUGAGUCAUCAUGCUGUCAGGGAGAAAAGAGCAGAAACCAUGGCUCAGGAGGAGGAGUAUCAGACUAUCAGCAAUUUGAAUUCAGAUUGUCUUAUGUUGGUCAUGAAACCAAGUCUUCCAACAACCUCAUCUACUGAGAUAAUACGUUCAGGAGAACUGCUGAGUAUCACGUCUUCUGACAUCAAGUCCCUUACUUUUCCAUUCACCUCAGUUCUUUUUAACCCCAAACUGGAUUUUCCGGAAGUAUGAGCUUUGUGACUUAUUGCAAACUCUGCUUAUAUCUGUAUUAAUUAUUCAGUAAAUGAACAGCUGUUGAUUUCCAUUGAAAUCUGUUGUUUGUGGUCCUUGAUAUUUAGAAACUACUGGAUACUGUCUCUUAGAAAAUUGGUCCUUUUUAUGUGGGCACUCAUUUUAGGCACUCAUAAUCACCUGUAAUUUCAGAAAAAUGUUUCUAGAAUUUUUAAAGACAAUAUAGUCAGUACUGAAUUUGGGAUUAAAAGUAAACCUUCUCAUUUUAAAAGCAACAAAAUAAAAUGACAAUGUAGAUAUAGUAGACUUCAGCUAUUUUGAGGAUCUUAUUUCAUUGAUGUCCUAUUGCUUUUAUAAAAAUGGCAUUCUACACUGUGAAGACAACCUGUUAAAUGGCUAACAGAGACAUCUCUCCAAGUAGUUGACAACAGAAAAUCAUCAUCAGAUGGAGAAGUUCCCCAGGAACUGACAGUAGGCUGCUUCUGUUAACACCUCCUGUAAUCACACAGGAGCAAGCAGAAAUGUUGCUGAUAUAAUUUCCAGAUGACACAAAGCCCAGCCAAAACAGUCAUGUCAAUGAGCUCAGGAAAGCAUGGAGUGAUCUGGGUGACUUGUCCAUUUAAAUCUUUCUUUACACAGCUACAUAUUAAGUCAUUGACUUCAGAAGAAAGAGUGCAAGAUGUUUUUACAGACUGGAAAGACUUUAUCUUGGAAAGCAGUGCUUCUAAAAGGGUUUGGGGAUCAAAACGGAGAAACAGCUCAACUUCAAUUUCCAGAAUAAUUCUGUAGAGAAAGGGGCUAAUGAGAUUCUUGCUUAUUUCAAGAGGGAGACCAAAAAUAGGAAUUGGGAGUCUUCCCUCUGUAAAGCACUCCUGAGACUAGUAAAAAAAAAGUACAGAUUUGGUGUUCAUAUGUUCAAAAGGAUAUGGAUAAAUAGGAGAGGUGCAGAAAAGAGACACAGGAAUUAUUCAUAAGCUGAAGGAAAUGCCUUGAAGUGAAAAGACUGUGAGAGUUCCCAGCCUUUAUCUAAAAACCUGUUGCUAUGCUUGGUAGAAGAGGCUUAUAUGAUCUAAGUUAUGAAGGACAUCAGUCUCGAUACUCUAAUAGUACCUUUAAGGAAAAGAAUAGUAUCAGCCUUGCCUAUCAGAAAUGGCUCAAUGUCUUCUCUUGGAAAGUCAAACUCUUUCAUGUCACUAGAGGAACAAAUAAAUAUCCUAAAACAUGCAGUAGUUCUUAGAUCUUACAAAAUACGAUGCAAUAGUUAGAAAAUCAUAGUACAAAUAUGCUUUUAAAAACCUAUAGUCACCCCCAUGGAUGCUUGGGUAUUAUUUAAAUGAAAAAGUGAAUGGAUAGUUUUGUUUAAUUUUCCCUUGAUGGAGCUGGGGAAUCCAAUUAUUUUUGAAAAAUUAACUUUCUCCCUGCCUCUUCUCCUCCUAUUAGUCCCGAGUUUAGGUAUGGCACCUUCAGAUCAUCUACUUUGUGGCAAAAACAGUGAACAAAGGAGUAGAAAUAGCUGUUGGACGAAGAACAAUCCUACAAUUCCAUGCCUUGCAUUUCUCAUUAACUGUCAAUGUUCCACAAAAACAAAAAAACCCAACUCAUUAUGAGAAUUAACUUAAGU